AUCAUGGCAACAUAAUUGGCAAGCAUAGGAAGAACCAUAUGCCCGGAACUGGAGACUAGAACGAGAGCACAUUCUAUAUGGAAGGCGACACAGGGCAUCCUGUUUUCGAGACGGCUUUCGGAAAUAUAGCUGUUAAUUUAUGUUAUGGGAGGCACCAUCCUUUGAAUUGGUUAGCUUUUGGUUUGAAUGGUACAGAGAUUGUUUUCAACCCUUCUGCUUCCACUGGCGAAACCAGUGAACAAAUGUGGCCUGUCUAGCCCGCAGUGCUGCAAUAGCAAACAGUUACUUUGUUGGGUCAAUCAAUCGUGUUGGGACUGAGAAAUUCGCCCAUCCAUGCACUUCCAGAGAUGGCAAACCUCCAAAUCUUGGGCAUUUCUAUGGAUCCAGUCAUUUUUCAGCCCCAGAUGCUUCUUGCACCCCAUCUCUUUCCCGUAACAGGGAUGGACUGCUUAUCUCAGACAUGGAUCUCAACCUUUGUAGGCAGAUAAAAGACAGGUGGGGAUUCCGAACGACUGCCAGAUUUGAGUUGUAUGCAGAGUUGCUUGCUCAUUAUCUGAAGCCAGAUUUUGAGCUCCAAGUCAUUUCUGAUCCCUUUAAAUAAGAAUUCUAUGUACAUUUCUGAGUGUUACUGAGGGUUAAAUCGUGUAAGAAUUAAAAUAAUUGAAAGCUGUGUUGGGAUAAUAUCUUAUUUUAUCUG